UUGUCCUUAACGCCGCCAACAUAAAGCCUCGGCUCCGUUAACUGGUUGCUGCUGCCGAAGCUAAACGUGUGGUUUUUUGACCAAAAAUUUCCCACACGGAAAGUGCUUUAGUGCAGCGCAGUGCAAUUCGGUCAAAAAACGAAGCAAGCAUAUAUUUGACGGCAGCGGGGCUAGAGAAUUUAGACAGCCAUUCGUGAGUGCGUUUUUUUAAGACAAAAAAAUUUUUAGAAUUAAACAUACAUUGGAAACGUGAUCGCAUUGAAAAAAUAUUGUAGUUGACAACUUUUGUACUUGUACUUGAUUUGCGUGUGUUUUGUGCUUUUUUUUUCAAACAAUAGUUUCGCUUUUUGUGUCUUAAGAUUUGCAGAGAAGCAAGCAAAGCAGGAAAGAAGUGUGCAAAGACAAGGAAGAACAAGAUUUGUUUUAUUCUCCUUGAAAAAUAGCAAAAAAAGUAAUUGAAAUUGCUUUUGUAUACUGCUGAAGUUUUGCGUGGUAACGGCUAAUUGUGAGAAAACAAAAACUACUGAAAACAAUUAACAUGGAAGACGUCAUUGUUGUUAGCAGCGACUCCUCAUCGAAUAGUUCCAAUUCCGACAUGGAAAUCGAUAUGGAGCCCACGGAAAUGGAUAACAGUAGCGAGAGCAUAGUUCCCAAGGACAAUGCAACGUAUGUACCCCGAUACAUA
rnacentral:sRNA from 1 species